CAGACACAGACAGCUCCGGCAGCAACGUCUGGAAACCACAGAAGAAGAAGCUGAAACGACGUGAGGGGGAGCUGAGAGGCGGACGGCAGUCGGAGUCGGGUCACACCUGAGUGAAGAAGUGCACUUCGUGUUUGGUGGGGUGAACGUUCACGUCGACGUUCUGCGGAGAGAUUUCCAGGCUGAGGAGAAAACAUCACAGGAAUUUACAGCAUCUUCCAUGUUUUACUUUAAACCUGGGCAAAAUGUGGAAGCAGCAAAAAAAAGUCAACAUUUCCUAUGAAAUAAAUGCACCUUCAGCGUCUCAUUUA